rnacentral:rRNA from 1 species
AUUGAACGCUGGCGGCAGGCCUAACACAUGCAAGUCGAGCGAGCGGCGGACGGGAGAGUAAUGUCUGGGAAACUGCCUGAUGGAGGGGGAUAACUACUGGAAACGGUAGCUAAUACCGCAUACCAUCAGAUGUGCCCAGAUGGGAUUAGCUAGUAGGUGGGGUAACGGCUCACCUAGUCGACGAUCCCUCGCUGUUCUGGGAUGAUGACCAGCCACACUGGAACUGAGACACGGGCCAGACCCCUACGGGAGGCAGCAGUGGGGAAUAUUGCACAAUGGGCGCAAGCCUGAUGCAGCCAUGCCGCGUGUGUGAAGAAGGCCUUCGGGUUGUAAAGCACUUUCAGCGGGGAGGCGUUACCCGCAGAAGAAGCACCGGCUAACUCCGUGCCAGCAGCCGCGGUAAUAC